CCUACGUGAGGCUGCAGUGGGGAAUAUUGCACAAUGGGCGCAAGCCUGAUGCAGCGACGCCGCGUGAGGGAUGACGGCCUUCGGGUUGUAAACCUCUGUUAGCAUCGAAGAAGCGAAAGUGACGGUAGGUGCAGAGAAAGCGCCGGCUAACUACGUGCCAGCAGCCGCGGUAAUACGUAGGGCGCGAGCGUUGUCCGGAAUUAUUGGGCGUAAAGAGCUUGUAGGCGGUUGGUCGCGUCUGCUGUGAAAGGCCGGGGCUUAACUCCGGUUUUGCAGUGGGUACGGGCUAACUAGAGUGCAGUAGGGGAGACUGGAAUUCCUGGUGUAGCGGUGGAAUGCACAGAUAUCAGGAGGAACACCGAUGGCGAAGGCAGGUCUCUGGGCUGUAACUGACGCUGAGAAGCGAAAGCAUGGGGAGCGAACAGGAUUAGAUACCCGUGUAGUC
rnacentral:rRNA from 1 species